rnacentral:rRNA from 1 species
ACUCCUACGGGAGGCAGCAGUGGGGAAUAUUGCACAAUGGGCGCAAGCCUGAUGCAGCCAUGCCGCGUGUAUGAAGAAGGCCUUCGGGUUGUAAAGUACUUUCAGCAGUGAGGAAGGCGGGUACGUUAAUAGCGUGCUUGUUUGACGUUAGCUGCAGAAGAAGCACCGGCUAACUCCGUGCCAGCAGCCGCGGUAAUAAGGAGGGUGCGAGCGUUAAUCGGAAUUACUGGGCGUAAAGCGCAUGCAGGUGGUUUGUUAAGUCAGAUGUGAAAGCCCGGGGCUCAACCUCGGAAUUGCAUUUGAAACUGGCAGACUAGAGUACUGUAGAGGGGGGUAGAAUUUCAGGUGUAGCGGUGAAAUGCGUAGAGAUCUGAAGGAUACCGGUGCGAAGCGGCCCCCUGGACAGAUACUGACACUCAGAUGCGAAAGCGUGGGGAGCAAACAGGAUUAGAUACCCUGGUAGGAUAGCG